UACGUAGGGGGGCUAGCGUUGUCCGGAUUUAUUGGGCGUAAAGAGCGUGUAGGCGGCCAGAUAGGUCUGCUGUGAAAACUCGAGGCUCAACCUCGAGAUGUCGGCGGAAACCAUUUGGCUAGAGUCCGGAAGAGGAAAGUGGAAUUCCUGGUGUAGCGGUGAAAUGCGCAGAUAUCAGGAAGAACACCCGUGGCGAAGGCGGCUCUCUGGUACGGAACUGACGCUGAGACGCGAAAGCUAGGGGAGCGAACAGG
rnacentral:rRNA from 1 species